UUUCAUCACCACCGGUUCCCGAGGAUAGAGAGAGCGACAGAGAGAAAAAUCAAAACCCUUGAUAUCGAAAAAUCCAGAGGUUUUCACCACAAGAGAUUUUUAAUGGCACCAGCCAAGGGAAAAAAACUUGCAUCAAAACAAUCAAAAGAUUCAACACCAAUUGAUUUCAGCCAGAUUAGGAAUAAUAGAGUUGUAAAAAGAGAAGAAGAAAUUCAGCCAAAGAGAAGGAAACUGGCAGCACCGCCUCUUCUUGAAACUUCAACUUCCAUGGUGGUUGUGUCGGAACCAAUUCCGGGUACUAUUGUCCCAUAUCAUUCAGAUGAACCAAUUUCUAUGGUUAUACCUAAACCAGAAAGUUCAAAAUAUAUUGUCAACUUCAACUCUAUGGUUAUAUCGAAACCAGAAGAGUCAACAGAUAUUGUCAACUUCAAAGAUGAACCACAAAAAAAAACUACAGAUGUGGCUACCAUGGACUUAUCAACAUAAGUAAAAGAUUAGAGCCGGAUUCGGCGAAAAGAAAAAAACGCGAUGAGGAGAUACUUUUGGGCUCAACAGAAAAGAAGUUACUCUGGUUCAAGGACGAACAGUUGGAGGUUUUAGAAACAACGCCUUUCUAGAAUAUGUCGAAACCUUUUAUAUACAAAGAGCUUUCGACAACUUUUUAUGAUUGGAAAAAGAGUGUACAAACAAUUGAAUCAAUAAUAAGAACUUACAAGAAUCCUGUAGAAGGUAACUCUGAUGAAGAAGUCGGCGAAAAGGAUCAUUGUUUUGUCUUUGGAGACGGUGACAAUAAAUUUACUUUGAGAAGCACCGCAAAUCAUUUAGCCGUCCACUUCGGGAUUAGGAGACCCAGAUCAGGGGCAGCUAUAAAAUAAGGAACAGUAAAAAUGGCUGGAGAAAUAGAUGUGCUGGCUUAUUUUAAGGGUAGUAAUCAGAUUAAAAAAACUGAUAUUGAGGCUAUCUUUGAGAAUAUACUCGAGUUAGAGACAGUAGAUGUGCAUGAAAUUAGAAGGAAGGGGGUCCUACUAGCGAAGCUACUUACACUGUAUCUUUGAGUCACUGUCUUUUUCACAACAGGAACUGGAAAUUCGCUGCCAAAGGACGUUUCUGGAAAAUAUUUUGUAACUUUGUUCAGGAUGAACAGUACUGAUUGGCCACAGCUAAUUCACUAGAAUCUAAUGUCGAGCAUUAGAAAUCAAAAGGCCGGUCCUCUGUCUGUACAUGGAUGUGUGAUACAUCUACUGUACUUGUUCGCAUCACACUCGAACUACUUCAACCAAGAAAACAAAAAAUUCCCAAGGAUGGCAAGAUGGACAUUAAAGGAACUUACUCUUAAAGUAGAUAUGAAGAUAGCAGUGUCCAUGCUAUCUAAAUCACUGAUAGAAGAAGGUUGGUCAGAGGAAGAGAGAAGAUUGACUCUUGAGUCUGUCAUUCCUGACACCGGUGAUAUGAGCCCAGACAGAACGAUUAAGUUGUUGAAGAAUCAAUUGAUAAUAUCUCAACAAUUGUUGGCGAAGAGAGAAGAAGCAUAUUCUGAUUUGCAAUCUAAAGAGUCUUUUGAUUACGAUUUUGUUGAAUUCGUCCGCUCGAGAAAGCAGGGGCUAGAGAGUCUAAAAUCUCGUGGACACCGCAUUCCAGAAGAUAAAUACAGGAGUGAUCUAUAUGAAAUUUUCAAUCGCAUGAAAGAUACAUUUACUACCUCGUUAGAAGAGGAUUCUGAUACUGAAAAUCAAGAUUCUGAAGAAGAUGCUACUAAGAAGAAGCCGCGUGGUCGCAAACUUCCCAGCCUGGAUGGGAAUAAACUGCUUCACAAAAUGAAUGAAAAAGACAAAAUGAGGAUUUCCAGUUUCUGGAAACAUGCUACUACAAUGGAAGUUGUUUUUCACUAUAAUGUCAAUGCUGUUCUAGAGGCCAAGGUUUCAGUUAUCGUUCUGGGUUCAACACUGAAAGAACUGCUAUUUGAUGACCUUGUCGACGCUCAAGCCAUUCAGUUCUACACUUUGAGGAGGAGAAUAAGAGUUGCAUCAGACCGUCAGAACAAAGCUCCAAAGUACAGGAAUUGUGUGUACUUUGAUCCUUAUGCAUGGUAUGCUGUCCGGAAUGGCAUUCAAAGUGGAAUAGAUGAUCAUGUUAGUAAACCUCUCCAAAACAUACGUGUACGUGAAAUGGAGAUGCUGGACUACCUUCUCAUCCCAAUGAAUAUAAGUGAUGACCCACUUAAAUCAGGAUAUCACUGGACCCUACUAGUGUUGGAUGUUCAACGCAGAGAGUGGCAUUUCCUCAACUCAUUGGUCUUAGAAAUUGAAGAUACCUAUCUUUUAGAUGCAAGGAAAAUGGCAGCGGCUGUCACACCUGAAAUAAACAAACGAUUAACGGAACCAAUUGUUUGCACCGAUGUGAUCCAGACUUAUGAAAAGGUAUGCAAAAGAUAACGGAAAAUCUAUUGAAAUGGAUUCAAAAAAAGCUGGUGAAAUUUGCUGCGAAAUGAGGCACAAGAUGGCAGCAAAAAUGUUGAGACCAUGUGAAUAUGCCAGUGUGUGGAGUGCUCCUAACGAUGAUCAUCUUUAAAACUGAAUGCAGUAGAACAAUUUAUUGUUAUCUCAGAGGGAUCUAAGUAUCUUUGUUUUGUUGAAUUAUGGCACAGCUUUUGGUAAAAAAGCAUACUUUCAGAUAGAUUGAGAACAAGAUACGGUGCAAGACCUGACGCGCAUUAUUUGGUUAUUUUGUUUAAGAAAAAGAAAGGUUAAAUGCUCUAUUAUUGUUUGCUCGGUACUCGAGGACCUACUCUUCAAAGAAUAUUUGGACAUUGCGGUAGUCCAUUUCUACAUUUUAAGGAGAAAACUGGGAACUUUGAAUGAUCGACAACACAAAGGAGACCACAAGUACCUAAACUGUGCUUACAUGGAUCCUUUUGCAUGGGAAACAGUGAUAAAAGAAUACCCUGACAAGGAGGCUUUGGUGAACAAAUUCAUAGAAAAAACGGCUGAUAAUUUGGAUAGUCUUCUGAUACCCAUAAACAACCUUGGCAAACACUGGACCCUCUUGGUGUUCGAUUUUAAUACUGAAGAAUGGAACUACUACGACUAACUGACUGCAAAUGCACGCAAGUGAAUCAAAGAUGCAAAUAAAAUGGCAUCGACAAUGAUAGAGGAAUUAAACAAGAAGAGACUGGACUUGGGGAAAAAGCAAAUAGCCAACACUGAUGUGAAGCCAAUAAAGUGUCCACACUGGCUAACAAUACACUGAAAUCAUGCUGCAGACUAGGGAAUAUGGAGGUGACUACACUGGCUAACGAUACACCGAAAUAUUUUAAACAUUACUAU